GCCAAUGAUUGGUGCAAUGCAGGGAAGGUGAACCAUGUGCCAUUAAGGGCCAACAGUCUGCAGGACUUCUUCCAACAAAUCCUUUAAACUAAAAGAGAAAAUACAUUGUUGCUUCAUGUCAUCGUUUGGUUGUCUGACAAGGAAAAUGCCAAUUGUUAGUCAGUGCCUUCAAACCCUAAAUGAGUAUUUUCUAAUUGCAGUUUUGUUAUGUUUACUAAAGGGUCUGGGUCCACAUGGCAUUUUUCCUGAAUGUCAGUGUCAUUUUUCAAUUGCUCCCAAUGUGAAGAGAGCUAAGCAGCCACCUUGAUAAAAAGUGCACAGUGUUGUUUUAAAGAGUGCUCCAGCUUUUUGUGUGGCCUCUCAAAGCACUCCAAGGUGAAAAUCUCUUAACUUUUCAGAAAGGCGCUAGUGACUUCUAUGCCGUUCCUUUAGCUAACGUUCCUGUCUAUGCAAGCUGUAUGAUGUCAGUCAGAAACUAUCACAACAAAGACAGAAAAGCCCAUCUGUGGAAGCACAUGGGCCUGACACUGAAUGUUGGUGGUGAGUGCUUUUAUCAUUGUACACGUUGUAAACUUGUUGUUAACUGUGUAGACAACCCUCUGUUAAUGUAGCGUUACACUGGCUGUCUAGCUAACGUUAAUGUAAAGUUAGAUAUUGUUGUCAUAGAAACAAAACUAUGUGUAGGCCUAGUGCGUCAAAGAAAAUUUCAUUAUAUAAAGCGUUGAAUGUUGUGCUCCCCAGCAUCCUGCCAUUGCUUUUCUGCCAAAGAAAAACACUACGUGGACACACACCCUAAAGGAUCUGUAUACUUCCUCCACCCAUACUGUUCUGCUUCUCAAACUCAAUUUGCUAUUGAGGACCAUGUGGUGCAGACAAAAGAUCUAGAUGAAGGAGCAUCCUCACACCAGGAGAGCAUCACACCAGGCCUCCUUGUUGUGGGCUUGCUACGUGGCCAACCUGUGACGUUGUCCUCCCAUCCUCUCCCGAAAAAACUCUGAUUUGUUCAGCUCUCAAGUGCUUCUAACUGAAUCUCUGUGGUUUGGAGUUCAGUUUCACUCCUGUGUUCCUGUUCAAACUUACAGCUGUCAGUUUUAUUUUACUCUGGCAGCUGUGUCACAUCUGCAUUUUCUGUGUGAAGUUAAUGCUGAUGCUACUGACCAGCAGGAGACUUUUACUGUGGAAGCUGCAGGAAAUGCAAUGUGUUUGAUGUCAGAGGUGCUUCUCUUUAGGUAGCCUAUGGCUCGAAACCACUUUUUCAUGUCCAACUUUGAGUAUUGGCCGAUACUGAUGCCAAUCCGGUACUGUCUUUUGUCCUCUCUGAAACAAGCCAGCUGUUGAUAGUAUGUUUGUAUGGAUGCUGUUUACUUAACCUAGACAUCUAAAACACAUCAUAACACAAAUAUUCUACUCCCGUACAGGAAGAAUACUUAUCCCACAACAUGACUCAGUAAUGCAUACUGCUGCUUCAUUUUAUUUAAACUUUUCAUAGCAUUUUUGAUUGGUCAGCACCAUUCAAACAUUCAAAAUGAAAGUUUAAGGACAACUUCAUGCAAGAGGAAUUUUAACUCUAGUGUAAAAUACUGGAUAAAACUCAAUAAUAAGUGUAGCCUCUACCUAAAUGACAAAAAAAAGUUACACUGUAGACCAUAACUUUAAUAACUAUAACUUUACAUAACAAUAGUAUCUCCAGUAUAAAAUGUACAGUGGAACACUGUACACUAACCGUGGCAUCUUAAUGCAGUCACACCUGUAACUGCAGGCUAUUACAUCUGAAAUCAGGUGAGCUGCAUUGAAAAACAAUAUCUAAGGUAGACAGUGCAAGCUCUUCAUGUGAACUGCUGUUCAUGUGACACGUACUGGUCAUCUGUUACUUAUUGUGUGGCAUGUCUCUUCACGGCAUGUCACGCAAAGCUUAGUUAUGCAUUUACAUACUUCAGGCUAAAGGAACGUGUUGAAAUAUACUUUACUGUUUUUUGGAUAUCCAAUCCAAUAAUUAUAGCCAGUAUUGGAGCAAUACAGAUACUGUGUAUCCUUUCUUUUCUUCAAUAAAAACAUAUCUACACAA